CUGCGACGCGUUGCCUUUUAUAAGGAACAUGCAGCCAACGGAUUGCAUUGCAGGGUCCAGCAACUGGUGUGCUCCCCUGCAAAAGGAGACAGCAUGUAUGCGUUCGGGGAACGACGUGUUCGCUUGCGGACACCCCUAAUCAUUGCUUCAAACGCCAAGAAACCGACACGUGAAGAGUUUCAUGCUGCAGGGGCCAUGGUGCCGGCAUGUCGCUGGUGGGUGCGUCGAUGCUAAGGCGUGGUUCAUUCACUUCCUCUGGAGUACGGGGUACUGUUUUCUCCAGACUGUUACCCUUUUCGGAAGCUGCGAACCUGCAACCGUAAGACACUGGGAGAAAGCAAUCGGUGUUCAGCUAGGACAACUGAGAUGCCAUAUCCCGCAAGGUCCCAGAUCUGGACAGCGGCGCAACAAAGGUGGCAAAAACAAAAAGAGACCGAGACGGAACAGCCAAAGAACGGACUUUUAUUUCGAGUGCCCGGACCGUGAUGCACAGACUGCGACUCAACACGGGCGUUCUGUUUAUUCUGGCGAUAGAAUCAUUAUUUCAGUCGUUUUUCAUUCUCCAGUGAGCGAAAAGGGAGGAGACGUGUUGUUUUAUGUCGCCGGAAGUCUGGCUUGUGCUCCGGGAAGCAAACUGAUGGAGCUGCCGUUCUUUCUUUUUCGAUACCCGAGUUGCGCGAUCUACACAGGGAGAGUUGGGACUACAAGUGUACUUACUUUCCAGACGACA
rnacentral:lncRNA from 1 species